GACGAACGCUGGCGGCGUGCUUAACACAUGCAAGUCGAACGGAAAGGCCCUGCUUUUGUGGGGUGCUCGAGUGGCGAACGGGUGAGUAACACGUGAGUAACCUGCCCUUGACUUUGGGAUAACUUCAGGAAACUGGGGCUAAUACCGGAUAGGAGCUCCUGCUGCAUGGUGGGGGUUGGAAAGUUUCGGCGGUUGGGGAUGGACUCGCGGCUUAUCAGCUUGUUGGUGGGGUAGUGGCUUACCAAGGCUUUGCCGGGUAGCCGGCCUGAGAGGGUGACCGGCCACAUUGGGACUGAGAUACGGCCCAGACUCCUACGGGAGGCAGCAGUGGGGAAUAUUGCGCAAUGGGCGGAAGCCUGAUGCAGCAACGCCGCGUGCGGGAUGACGGCCUUCGGGUUGUAAACCGCUUUCGCCUGUGACGAAGCGUGAGUGACGGUAAUGGGUAAAGAAGCACCGGCUAACUACGUG
rnacentral:rRNA from 1 species